GACGAACGCUGGCGGCGUGCUUAACACAUGCGAGUCGAACGGAAAGGCCCUGCUUGUGUGGGGUGCUCGAGUGGCGAACGCGUGAGUAACACGUGAGUAACCUGCCCUUGUCUUUGGGAUAACUUCAGGAAACUGGGGCUAAUACCGGAUAGGAGCUCCCGCUGCAUGGUGGGGGUUGGAAAGUUUCGGCGGUUGUGGAUGGACGCGCGGCUUAUCAGCUAGCUGGUGGGGUAGGGGCUUACCAAGGCUGUGACGGGUAGGCGGCCGGGGAGGGUGACCGGCCACCAUGGGACUGAGAGACGGCCCAGACUGCUACGGGAGGCAGCAGUGGGGAAUAUUGCACAGUGAGCGGAAGCCUGAGGCAGCAGCGCCGCGGGUGGGAUGACGGCCUGCUGGUUGUGAACCGCUGUCGCCUGUGACGAAGCGUGAGUGACGGUAAUGGGUAAAGAAGCACCGGCUAACUACGUG
rnacentral:rRNA from 1 species